AUGACCUGGCGUGUAAAUUAUGUAUUGGCUUGCUUAGGUAACAAAUUACUUGUCGGGACGAGUUAUGCAUAUUUGGUAACAAACCAAUUGAUAGACACAUGUUUUUUUGCUAAAUAUUGGCGAAAAACUGGCAACCAACCAAUUGAUAGCCAAACAUGCCAAAUGUUGGCAACUUCCAGCUUUGCCAAAAAUAGGCUUGCCAACAAUUGGCAUGCCAAAAAUUGGCUGCAAACCAAUCAGCCUCUACAUCAUCAACAUCAUACAUACAGGAAAAAAGAAACCAGGAAGGUAUUCUACAAUGGAGGAUCGUCAUCAGGACGACGUCUUUGGGUUUGCCUUCUCCCACCCGCCGCAGGAGUCGUCGCAGCAGCUCUCCUCGCCGAUGACCCGGUUGACGGUCCUGCCGACGCAGCUGGACGAGGCGCAGCCGCCGUCCCUGGCGUUGUCGAAGUCCGGCGCGAAGCCGAGGAACAUGGGCGGCUGCGUCUCCAUCCCGUGGCUGCUGCCCAGCGUCCCGUACUGCUUCUCCACGCCGCCGUCCUCCCGGAACCGGACCUUGCACCCGCCGCCGUCCUCCCUGCAGAGGAGCACGUCGUGGCCGGGGUUCCAGAAGAUGCGCACGCCGUGCGCCCAGCACAGGUUGGCGCCGCGGUAGGAGCAGAGCACCUCGAACACCUCGUCGCCGCGCACCGCCGGGAUCGACAUGCGCGCCUCCUCCGCGCUGGGGAUCUCGGCCCGCUCCGACCAGACCGGCGCGCUCAGGUUGUGCUCGCUGUAGCCGUGGCACAGCAGCUGCACGUUGCCGUCCGCCAUGUCCAGCUCCUCGCCCACCUGCUGCUCGUUGGUCACCACGAUCAGCAGCUUCGGCGCGGCGCCCGGCAGGAACGGCGACGGCAGGCGGGGGCACCGGUACCGGAGGAAGUAGCUGGUCGCCACCACCGCGGCGAUCAAGACGGCGAGGACGACGACCUUCACCGGCCCCGCGGCCAGGACGGCGACGACAACGACGACGACGAUGCUGCGCCGGCGGAGCUUAGGACCGUGGAGAUGGGGCUGCGCGUACGUGUGCUGUCGAGGCUGGCAUGCAAAGUGGCGCGCGCCUCGCUCAUGCAUGUUUCGCCGUGA
rnacentral:rRNA from 1 species